UACGGGGGGGGCAAGCGUUGUUCGGAAUUACUGGGCGUAAAGGGCUCGUAGGCGGCCAACUAAGUCAGACGUGAAAUCCCCAGGCUCAACCUGGGAACUGCGUCUGAUACUGGAGGGCUUGAGUGCGGGAGAGGGAUGUGGAAUUCCAGGUGUAGCGGUGAAAUGCGUAGAUAUCUGGAGGAACACCGGUGGCGAAGGCGGCAUCCUGGACCGACACUGACGCUGAGGCGCGAAAGCUAGGGUAGCAAACGGG
rnacentral:rRNA from 1 species